CUUGCAAAGACAGUAUGAAGGGAGCGCGAAGAGAUGGAUUGCAAUAUCCAAUGAAAUGUAACAUGUCCCGUUUAAAAGCAAUAAACACUUAAUUUCAUUUCAUCAUUUACGUGCGGAAUUUCGAAAUUGUGAUGUACAAAUGACAUCCAAAUCCAGAAGCACACGAUCACGAGAAAAAUUACGCACGACAUCAUCUUCGGGUUUACCGAAAUGGCGACAAUCACCAGUUGAUAUUAAUCAAGUCGCUGUGUGGACGAAAAAAUUUCCACUCUUACUUUUGACUAAUUAUUGGUCAAAUGAUGGCACAGCGACAAUCACGAACACUGGCACAACAGUUAAUGUGGAAUUGACGAAUAGGAAAAUGCCGACAAUGCGCGGCGGUCCUUUGAAAGAUGACGAAUUUCAAUUUAUAAACGCACAAUUUCGGUGGGGCUCGUGUAACUCCCGUGGCGCGGAACAUUCAAUCAAUAACGCGUGGUAUUCGAUGGAGGCGCAAGUUAUGCAUUGGAAUACGCGUUACGGAUCAAUAGACAAAUGCUACGACAAGCCUGAUGGGAUUGCAAUACUCUCAUAUCUCAUGCAGGUGGUCGGCUGCUCGGGAAUUGCAGAUAAUUCCGCACUCGCUCCGAUCACUGAUAAGCUUUUGGAAAUAAAACGCAUGGGUAGCACUGUGAAUAUUAUGCCUGAUUGUUUACGUUGGAUGACGCAUGCACUCAUGUGCUCCACAUAUUACACUUAUUCAGGCUCGCUUACCCUUCCCCCUUAUAAUGAGUGCGUUAUUUGGAUAAUUUUGCCGAGUGCGAUAAGAAUCUCUCUUCGUCAGAUAGAAGCUUUCAGAAGUCUUUAUAACCACAAGUGGGAACAUAUAGUGAGAAACUAUAGAUCCCAACAUCUUCUUCAUGGAAGAAGAAUUUUCUACGCCACAGAUGACGCAGUAGAGUGAUCGAAUCGAGAAAUUUUAUUACUUAGGAAAAAAAAUUGCUUUAGCAAAAAUUUCCGCAAACGAUACACGUGAAGCAAGUCGCGAACAAGACAACUGAUCAGCAUCGCGGAAAAGAGACCUCAACCGUUUCAGUACAUUUGAGU